AUUGAACGCCGGCGGCAGGCUUAACACAUGCAAGUCGAACGAUGAUUAUCUAGCUUGCUAGAUAUGAUUAGUGGCGGACGGGUGAGUAACAUUUAGGAAUCUGCCUAGUAGUGGGGGAUAGCUCGGGGAAACUCGAAUUAAUACCGCAUACGACCUACGGGUGAAAGGGGGCGCAAGCUCUUGCUAUUAGAUGAGCCUAAAUCAGAUUAGCUAGUUGGUGGGGUAAAGGCCCACCAAGGCGACGAUCUGUAACUGGUCUGAGAGGAUGAUCAGUCACACCGGAACUGAGACACGGUCCGGACUCCUACGGGAGGCAGCAGUGGGGAAUAUUGGACAAUGGGGGCAACCCUGAUCCAGCCAUGCCGCGUGUGUGAAGAAGGCCUUUUGGUUGUAAAGCACUUUAAGCAGGGAGGAGAGGCUAAUGGUUAAUACCCAUUAGAUUAGACGUUACCUGCAGAAUAAGCACCGGCUAACUCUGUGCCAGCAGCCGCGGUAAUACAGAGGGUGCGAGCGUUAAUCGGAAUUACUGGGCGUAAAGCGAGUGUAGGUGGCUCAUUAAGUCACAUGUGAAAUCCCCGGGCUUAACCUGGGAACUGCAUGUGAUACUGGUGGUGCUAGAAUAUGUGAGAGGGAAGUAGAAUUCCAGGUGUAGCGGUGAAAUGCGUAGAGAUCUGGAGGAAUACCGAUGGCGAAGGCAGCUUCCUGGCAUAAUAUUGACACUGAGAUUCGAAAGCGUGGGUAGCAAACAGGAUUAGAUACCCUGGUAGUCCACGCCGUAAACGAUGUCUACUAGCCGUUGGGGUCCUUGAGACUUUAGUGGCGCAGUUAACGCGAUAAGUAGACCGCCUGGGGAGUACGGCCGCAAGGUUAAAACUCAAAUGAAUUGACGGGGGCCCGCACAAGCGGUGGAGCAUGUGGUUUAAUUCGAUGCAACGCGAAGAACCUUACCUGGUCUUGACAUAGUGAGAAUCCUGCAGAGAUGCGGGAGUGCCUUCGGGAAUUCACAUACAGGUGCUGCAUGGCUGUCGUCAGCUCGUGUCGUGAGAUGUUGGGUUAAGUCCCGCAACGAGCGCAACCCUUUUCCUUAUUUGCCAGCGGGUUAAGCCGGGAACUUUAAGGAUACUGCCAGUGACAAACUGGAGGAAGGCGGGGACGACGUCAAGUCAUCAUGGCCCUUACGACCAGGGCUACACACGUGCUACAAUGGUAGGUACAGAGGGUUGCUACACAGCGAUGUGAUGCUAAUCUCAAAAAGCCUAUCGUAGUCCGGAUUGGAGUCUGCAACUCGACUCCAUGAAGUCGGAAUCGCUAGUAAUCGCAGAUCAGAAUGCUGCGGUGAAUACGUUCCCGGGCCU
rnacentral:rRNA from 1 species